rnacentral:rRNA from 1 species
GAUGAACGCUGGCGGCGUGCCUAAUGCAUGCAAGUCGAGCGGUAAGGCUCCUGCAGAUUAUUUAAACCGUGAAGAUCCGUCUUCACACCUCCCACUCCUGGCUAGGAGAUAGAGGUAAGUUUGAAUGAUGUGCUGGAGUACACGAGCGGCGGACGGGUGAGUAGCGCGUAAGAAUGUACCCCAAACUGAGGGAUAAGCAC